UACGGAGGGGGCUAGCGUUGUUCGGAAUUACUGGGCGUAAAGCGCACGUAGGCGGCGAUUUAAGUCAGAGGUGAAAGCCUGGAGCUCAACUCCAGAACAGCCUUUGAGACUGGAUUGCUAGAAUCACGGAGAGGUGGGUGGAAUUCCGAGUGUAGAGGUGAAAUUCGUAGAUAUUCGGAAGAACACCAGUGGCGAAGGCGGCCCACUGGACGUGUAUUGACGCUGAGGUGCGAAAGCGUGGGGAGCAAACAGG
rnacentral:rRNA from 1 species